AGUGAACGCUGGCGGUAGGCCUAACACAUGCAAGUCGAACGGCAGCACAGUAAGAGCUUGCUCUUACGGGUGGCGAGUGGCGGACGGGUGAGGAAUACAUCGGAAUCUACUUUUUCGUGGGGGAUAACGUAGGGAAACUUACGCUAAUACCGCAUACGACCUACGGGUGAAAGCAGGGGAUCUUCGGACCUUGCGCGAUUGAAUGAGCCGAUGUCGGAUUAGCUCGUUGGCGGGGUAAAGGCCCACCAAGGCGACGAUACGUAGCUGGUCUGAGAGGAUGAUCAGCCCCACGGGAACUGAGAAACGGUCCAGACUCCUACGGGAGGCAGCAGUGGGGAAUAUUGGACAAGGGGCGAAAGCCUGAUCCAGCCAUACCGCGUGGGUGAAGAAGGCCUUCGGGUUGUAAAGCCCUUUUGUUGGGAAAGAAAAGCAGCAGGUUAAUACCCCGCUGUUCUGACGGUACCCAAAGAAUAAGCACCGGCUAACUGCGU
rnacentral:rRNA from 1 species